rnacentral:lncRNA from 1 species
UUCAUGUGCAAAAACUACGGAGUAUACAGACCGACAUAGCUUUCCUUUAGUUAGGAUUGUAAUUGUAGUUGUUUGGGAUGAUUGACAUUGAGUUCUUGUGGUUAUAUUGUCAUAUUUAUGAGCAUGUGCUGUGAGCGAUCAUGAUUGAGUUUUGUUGAUGCAGUUUGUGAGACGAGAACCGGUUCCACUCCCCCGUCCAAAAAAAAAAAAAAAAAA